GACGAACGCUGGCGGCGCGCUUAACACAUGCAAGUCGAGCGAGAACCGGGCCUUCGGGCCCGGGGACAGCGGCGAACGGGUGAGUAACACGUGGGUAAUCUGCCCUCGACACUGGGAUAGCCCGGGGAAACCCGGAUUAAUACGGGAUAGCCUCCGAAGCCUUCGGGCGGCGGAGGAAAGGUGGCUUCGGCUUCCGGUCGAGGAGGAGCCUGCGGCGGAUUAGCUUGUUGGCGGGGUAACGGCCCACCAAGGCGACGAUCCGUAGCUGGUCUGAGAGGACGAUCAGCCACACUGGGACCGAGACACGGCCCAGACUCCGACGGGAGGCAGCAGUGGGGAAUCUUGCGCAAUGGGCGAAAGCCUGACGCAGCGACGCCGCGUGCGGGAAGAAGGCCUUCGGGUUGUAAACCGCUUUCAGGAGGGACGAGGCCACUCGGGUUAACAGCCCAGAGGGUGACGGUACCUCCAGAAGAAGCCCCGGCUAACUACGUGCCAGCCGCCGCCGUAAAAC
rnacentral:rRNA from 1 species